rnacentral:rRNA from 1 species
UGCCAGCAGCCGCGGUAAAACGUAGGGGGCAAGCGUUAUCCGGAAUCAUUGGGCGUAAAGCGCAUGUAGGCGGUUUACUAAGUUGGAUGUGAAAGCUCACGGCUUAACCGAGAGAGGUCAUCCAAAACUGGUAGACUUGAGUAAGGUAGAGGGGUACAGAAUUCCUGGUGUAGUGGUGGAAUGCGUAGAGAUCAGGAGGAAUACCAGAGGCGAAAGCGGUACCCUGGGCCUAAACUGACGCUGAGAUGCGAAAGCGUGGGGAGCGAACGGGAUUAGAUA